UACAGAGGGGGCAAGCGUUAUUCGGAUUUACUGGGCGUAAAGGGCGCGUAGGCGGCGCAACAAGUCACUUGUGAAAUCUCCGGGCUUAACUCGGAGCGGCCAAGUGAUACUGUCGUGCUAGAGUGCGGAAGGGGCAACUGGAAUUCUCGGUGUAGCGGUGAAAUGCGUAGAUAUCGAGAGGAACACCUGCGGCGAAGGCGGGUUGCUGGGCCGACACUGACGCUGAGGCGCGAAAGCCAGGGGAGCGAACGGG
rnacentral:rRNA from 1 species